rnacentral:rRNA from 1 species
UACGGAGGAUGCAAGCGUUAUCCGGAAUGAUUGGGUGUAAAGCGUCCGCAGGUGGCUGUGUAAGUCUGCUGUUAAAGAGUCUAGCUCAACUAGAUACAAGCAGUGGAAACUACACGGCUAGAGUACGUUCGGGGCAGAGGGAAUUCCUGGUGUAGCGGUGAAAUGCGUAGAGAUCAGGAAGAACACCGGUGGCGAAGGCGCUCUGCUAGGCCGUAACUGACACUGAGGGACGAAAGCUAGGGGAGCGAAUGGG